AUACCCACACCUGCUUUCUACACCGAGUGUUUAUACCCACGUGCACACCGUUCUCACCUCCUCCGUGAGACAGCAAGUACCGUGACCCCCUGGCACCCCACCUCACACACUUGACAGAAAUUCUCAGGACAAAAUGUUGAACCAAACCAGGCACCCUCUGGGAUCCUCCCCCACCAGGAGAUUGCCUCAAGAGGACGGUCAGUUUACAGCCUAGCUCUGUCCACCAUGGCGCCCUCCAGACUACCUGGCUGAGAAGACAUACAAGCAAGUCAGGUGGACCCUGCACCUCCUCACCCCCCCUCCCCUGCAUGCCUUUCACACCAAGUUCCCCUUUAAAGAUCCCACUUUCCUCCCCGAAAGCUGAAGCGAUUCCCUUAAAUCAGGAGCCUGUACUGUUUCCCCUUCACCAAGCUCUGCAAUAAAGUCACUUUCUUCCUACCA